rnacentral:rRNA from 1 species
UACGUAGGGGCAAGCGUUGUCCGGAUUUAUUGGGCGUAAAGAGCGUGUAGGCGGCUUUACAGGUCCGUUGUGAAAACUCGAGGCUCAACCUCGAGACGCCGGUGGAAACCGUAAAGCUAGAGUCCGGAAGAGGAGAGUGGAAUUCCUGGUGUAGCGGUGAAAUGCGCAGAUAUCAGGAAGAACACCCGUGGCGAAGGCGGCUCUCUGGGACGGUACUGACGCUGAGACGCGAAAGCGUGGGGAGCGAACAGG